AAGUCGUAACAAGGUUUCCGUAGGUGAACCUGCGGAAGGAUCAUUACCAAAUCCAAAUUUCCUUAACCCCUUGUGAACUAUUAUCUUAGUCUGUCUUUGGGAAGAAUUCAAGAGAAUUUUUUUGAUAUUUUCUCAAAAAAAGCUUUUGGGUUCUUCCCGAAAGAGUCCGGCAAAUUCAUUUAUUUGUUUUUCGUUUGGAUUUCUUUCAAAAAACCUUUAUUUAAACCACUUGAUUCGUUGGAAUUCAUUCUUUUAUAAUAAUCAAUAAAAGACAACUUUUAACGGCGGAUCUCUUGGCUCGU
rnacentral:misc_RNA from 1 species